rnacentral:rRNA from 1 species
CACGUAGGGGACGAGCGUUGUCCGGAAUCACUGGGCGUAAAGGGCGCGUAGGCGGCGCGGGCAGUCAACGGUGAAAGCUUGGGGCUCAACCCCGAGUCGGCCGUCGAUACUCCCGUGCUUGAGCACUGUAGAGGCAGGUGGAAUUCCGGGUGUAGCGGUGGAAUGCGUAGAGAUCCGGAAGAACACCGGUGGCGAAGGCGGCCUGCUGGGCAGUAGCUGACGCUGAUGCGCGACAGCGUGGGGAGCAAACAGG